GGGGCUUAUUUCUGUUGCUUUGACGAAAGCUUCUGAAAAUGAAGGCUUUAUUCCAGUGAACAAAAAUCUCUGGUCCACCUCCUACGUCACCACGCUGAGCUCCUCUGCCUUCUUGAUCCUGCUGGUCCUGUACCCCAUUGUGGAUGUGAAGGGACUGUGGACAGGAACCCCGUUCUUCUACCCGGGCAUGAACUCGAUCCUGGUGUACGUGGGCCACGAGGUGUUUGCCAACUACUUCCCCUUCCAGUGGAGGCUGGGGGACAGCCAGUCCCACAGGGAGCAUCUGGUGCAGAACAUAGUCGCCACUGCACUCUGGGUGCUCAUCGCCUACGUCCUCUACAAGAAGAACGUCUUUUGGAAAAUCUGAGGCUCCGGCUGAGAUGAGAUGUGUGACUGGCAGACGACAGGGCCUGGGGAAUCAUUAAAAGGAGUCAUUCGUUAAAACAGCGGCUGGGCUGUGAAUUUCCAGAUUAUCAACAAGGAGGCUGACGUGGCUCCUGCGAAUCUGCCUGUGGACGUGGGACUUAAAUACCUGAAACGUAAUUGUCUUGUCUUCUCCGUCUUCUAUGGAAAUGGAUGCAUUUGGAACGUCUCAUUUAAUUUUUCAGAAGGGAAUUCACCAGGCCAUUUUGCUUCUGUGACGGGCAACACAAUCCACGGUCUGCUGCUCCCUGAUGUUCUUUGCCUGCACCUGCCUCUCCUCUCGUAUCCACACCGACCAAGGUGCCACCUUCGCCGCCGUGGCUGGCUGUGACGCUCGCUGGGUGUAUGUGCAGUAGCGCAGUCUAAUAGAUUUUUGGUGAAGUACAGCUUAAUAGUUCAAGAAAGUCCAAGUGAUUUCCUUUCAGCUCUGUAGGGCACCGGUGGGGCCAAAUAAAAAGCCUUUCUUUUUUUUUUAAGCAGUAGGGAAGAAACUUUAUUAAUUGAUGACAGCAUGUUUUUUAAAAGGCUCAAAUUAGGGAAAACGCUGUAGGAUACGCACCAACCAUAGCGAUGUUGUAUCAGAAACCAGAGUGGGGGCUCCCGCUGUGGUGCAACAGGGUCAGCAGCAUCUCUGGAGCCCUAGGAUGCAAGUUCAAUCCCUGGCCCCGAACAGUGGGUUAAAGGAUCUGGCGUUGCUACAGUUGUGGUGUAGGUGCAACUGUGGCUCAGAUCUGACCCCUGGCCUGGCCAAAAAAAUGAAAACAAACCAAAAAUCCAGGUUGAAUUAAAGUUAUGAUCAUAUUCAAAAAAGGCUUUUUUUUUUUUUUUUUUUAAGGGCUGCACCAAGGCACAUGGAGGUUCCCAGGCUAGGGGUCAAAUCAGAGCCACUGGCCUACAGCACAGCCACAGCAAUGCAGGAUCCGAGCCAAGUCUGCAACCUACACCACAGCUCAUGGCGACGCUGGAUCUUUAACCCACUGAGCGAGGCCACGGGUUGAACCCACGUCCUCUGGAUACUAGUCAGGUUUGUUACCAUUGAGCCAAAACAGGAACUCCCCCAAAAUGCCUUUCUAUCAGAAGCUGUUUUUUCUCCUUUUCUCCAUUUUAAAAACAGUUAAAACCAUAGAUGUAUUAUUUGCAGCCACUCUUGCUUACAGUUAACUACUUAAGUGCCUACCUGUCAGCCUACCCACUCACCUCCUACUUGGGGGCCUUUCUCUCCGUGUAUCUGGAUGGUAUCUGGUCCCCAGGGCCAGCCUCUGUCCCUAGGAAGAGAGGAGCUUGCGGUGUCUCCUGGGCUCCUGCUUUGCCGUCCUUGCCGUGCGCGAUGUCAGGCAAGUCCCUGAGCAACAAGGGAGGUGGUGCUGGGCUCCCCGCUCCCUGCCAGCUCUGAGGCUCAGUGGGGUGGCCUGCACCGCUGGCUUUUCUGAAAUCCUUAGAAAAAUAUUUUUAUUACAGAAAACUCUUCCAAAUCAAUGACCACGAAAAGUUAAAAAAAAAAAAAAAACAAAAACCUCUCAUCGGAGUAAAUCUUUUCAGAAUGACCCUUCGCAGUGGAGGCAGAUUUCCUGCUCGGAAUCCCCAGAAUGAGGACUUGUUGGAGAACACAGCGAGAAACAGGUCUUCCAUGGGAGGCAUCCUUGUACCUGGGAAUUUCCUGUGAGAAAGAAAACGUGGCACUGGGCUGUACCUGGGACCCUCUGCGUGGGCCCUGUCCCACCACGUCCGCUGUCGUCCCUGCGGGGACCCCAUCUCUACCUGAACUCUCCUUCCAACUUGUGACCGCCCUCGGACCCCCGGAUGCCCGCCAGCAUCCAGGCCCCUCCGCCGUCUCUUCCCAAAUGCAGCCCUUCCCGCCGCUGGACGGCUCUGUGGAUGGUCGUCUUGGUACAAAAGUGCCGUCGUCUUUCCCACAUCUCACGCCCUUUCCCACGGUCAGUUGUCACUGAAUCUUCUCAAUUCUGUCUCCACCUCCCACCUGGAACAUCUCAUUCUCCUGGUCACUGCCUGUUAUGCUUGUGCAGACUCUUGUAAUCAUUUUUAAGCCGGCCUCUUUCCCCAAAGUCACUCUGUCACCCUCAGAUUACGCUUCAUAAAACAGAUCAGAUCAAAGCACCUCCUUUUACAGCUUUGCUACAGAUGGAUGCAUCCUCCACGGAGCCGAGCAUAUCAUACCCGCUGGUGUCUUUCCCCAGCCCUGGACCCACACGACGAGUCCUGGCCCGACCACCUCCAUCAGCAGUGGUAGGCGGGCCUCUGCCUCUGCCUCUGCGUGCGGUCAUCCUGGAUUGCUUUUCCUCUUCGUUUUCUCCCAUCCACAUCUGACCUGCACGUUCUCUAGGGCACCUUCUGUAAUCUCUUAUUCUCAGAGUAAUAUUUUCUUCCUCUGGAUUCUCUUAAUACCUGGUGGAGGCCGAUCUUGUAGCAUUAUUUGUUUUCUGCCUUGGUGUGACGGUCACUUGUGUCCAUGACCAAGUUCCCAUGCUGGACAGUGAGCCUGCAGAGGACAGGAGCCACGCCUCGUCCACCUGCAUGUUCUUCACGGCACCAACACAGUGCCUCGUGCAGAGCGGGUGCUAAAUAAACACCUGUUAAAGC
rnacentral:lncRNA from 1 species